GUCAGGCGUGACACUGUCUGGCCUGCGUUCCUGCUCUGGGGAGGAGCACCAGGCGUGCGAGAGGCAGGUUAUUUAAGGAGCCCAGCGAUGAAUCCAGAUGACUCAGGUCCACCCCGGGAGGGAUUUCCUUAAAAGACCUCUCAGUUUGUGGGAGCUCAGACCGACACGACUGUUCACAACGUAGGCGCCUCCUGCCUGGAGCUGCCGCUGGGCUCAGACACCAAGCCACGAGCAGAAACCCAAGCUAAAAAUACCCUGCCUCUCCAUCACCCACCCCGCUCAGCAGAGUCAACGGUGGCCCCAGGCGCAGGGGUCUCACAACCAGGUAGCUGUUGGUCUGAGCAUCAAACAGUGACAAGAAUCCCUGCCCUGUGCCCCAGGACCCUCCGCUCCACACCUGGAGGUUGGAUACAGUUAGCAGAAGGCAAAGAGCAACUACAGAAAGGAAUGUCAACAACAUUGAUCCCACUCUACUCGAGAAAGAAUGGCCAUUGUCAGGAAACCAAAUAACAAAUGCUGGCCAGGCUGCUGGGGAGACACAAGCCCUGCUACAUUUCCCAUGGGAAUGUAAACCAGUACAACCACUAUGGAGAUUGGAAUGCAGACUCCUCAAAAAACUGAAACCAGAAAUUCCAACUGACCCAGCUAUUCCCCUUCUAGGAUCUUCCCAAAAGAGUUGAGGACAUCAUGAUGUAGUGAUCCACGCACACUGUUUGUAGCAACACAACUCCUGGUAGCUAUAUCUUGGAAGCAGCCUGUAAGUCCACCAGCAGAUGAA